rnacentral:rRNA from 1 species
UCGGGAAUUUUGGGCAAUGGGCGAAAGCCUGAUGGAGCGACGUCGCGUGAUGGACGAAGUGCUUCGGCACGUAAACAUCUUUUAUGUGGGAUGAAAUUAUUGACAGUACCACAUGAAUAAGGGGCUCCUAACUCUGUGCCAGCAGGAGCGGUAAUACAGAGGCCCCAAGCGUUAUCCGGAAUCACUGGGCGUAAAGGGUGUCGAGGCGGUUGUAUUAGUCGUUCGUAAAAUCUACGAGCUUAACUUGUAGGCGGCGAACGAAACGGUACGACUUGAGGUUUGGAGAGGUGCGUGGAACUCACGGUGUAGGGGUGAAAUCCGUUGAUAUCGUGGGGAACACCAAAGGCGAAGGCAGCGCACUGGCCAAAAUCUGACGCUCACACACGAAAGCUAGGGUAGCGAAGAGGAUUAGAUACCCAUGUAGUCCCUGAGCGGGCUGGCAAGGCGCAU